rnacentral:ncRNA from 1 species
CCCACUGAAUUUAAGCAUAUAAGUUAGUGGAGAAGAAACUGAACAAGGAUUCCCUCAGUAACAGCAAGUGAAUAUGGAAGAGCCCAGUGCUGAACCUCUGGCCCACGGUGGGGGUGGUGGAAAUCUGGCAUAGAGAAGACCCACUCCCCACUGUUGCUUAUAGCACCCAAGUUCUUCUAUUGAAGCCUAGUCUGUUGACGGUAUGAGGCCAGCAGCCGGCUCUGGUGCACUGGGCCUGGGUGUUAUUGGGAUCAUGUUGCUUGAGAAUGUAGCCCAAAGUGGUAGUAAACUCCAUCUAAGGCUAAAUACCUGCACAAAAUUGAUAGUCAACAAGAACCAUAAGGGAAAGUUAAAAAGAGCUUUGAAGACAAACUUCAAGAGCUUGUGAAACUGUUAAAAAGUGUGAUAUGGUUUGGAUCUGUGUCCCCUAUAAAUCUCAUGUCAAAUUGUAAUCCCCAAUGUUGGAGAUGGGGCCUGGUGGGAAGUGACUGGAUCAUGGGGGUGGAUUUCUCAUGAAUGCUUUAGCACCAUCCCCUUGGUGCUGUUCUCAUGAUAGUGAGUGAGUUUUCAUGAGAUCUGGUUGUUUAAAGGUGUGCAGCCUUUCUCCCUGCUCACUCUUGCUCUUGCUCCCACCAUGUAAUAUGC